rnacentral:rRNA from 1 species
CAGCCGCCGCGGGAAAACGUAGGUGGCAAGCGUUGUCCGGAAUUAUUGGGCGUAAAGCGCGCGCAGGCGGAUAGGUCAGUCUGUCUUAAAAGUUCGGGACUUAACCCCGUGAUGAGAUGGAAACUGCCAAUCUAGAGUAUCGGAGAGGAAAGUGGAAUUCCUAGUGUAGCGGUGAAAUGCGUAGAUAUUAGGAAGAACACCAGUGGCGAAGGCGACUUUCUGGACGAAAACUGACGCUGAGGCGCGAAAGCCAGGGGAGCGAACGGGAUUAGAUACCCCGGUAGUCCCUGUCUCUUAUACA